rnacentral:rRNA from 1 species
AUUGAACGCUGGCGGCAGGCCUAACACAUGCAAGUCGAGCGAGCGGCGGACGGGUGAGUAAUGUAUGGGAAACUGCCCGAUGGAGGGGGAUAACUACUGGAAACGGUGGCUAAUACCGCAUACCAUCGGAUGUGCCCAGAUGGGAUUAGCGAGUAGGUGGGGUAACGGCUCACCUAGGCGACGAUCCCUAGCUGGUCUGAGAGGAUGACCAGCCACACGGGAACUGAGACACGGUCCAGACUCCUACGGGAGGCAGCAGUGGGGAAUAUUGCACAAUGGGCGCAAGCCUGAUGCAGCCAUGCCGCGUGUAUGAAGAAGGCCUUCGGGUUGUAAAGUACUUUCAGCGAGGAGGCGUUACUCGCAGAAGAAGCACCGGCUAACUCCGUGCCAGCAGCCGCGGUAAUAC